GGAAGCGUGGCCGAGCGGUCAAAGGCGGCGGUUUUGAAAACCGUUGGGCCUCUGAUAAGGGGGUCCCGUGGGUUCGAAUCCCACCGCUUCCGCCA
rnacentral:tRNA from 1 species